rnacentral:rRNA from 1 species
UACGGAGGGUGCGAGCGUUGUCCGGAAUCACUGGGCGUAAAGGGCGCGUAGGCGGCGCGGUAAGCACGCGGUGAAAGCCCGGGGCUCAACCCCGGGUCGGCCGUGCGGACUGCCGCGCUGGAGCACUGUAGAGGCGGGUGGAAUUCCGGGUGUAGCGGUGGAAUGCGUAGAGAUCCGGAAGAACACCGGUGGCGAAGGCGGCCCGCUGGGCAGUGGCUGACGCUGAGGCGCGACAGCGUGGGGAGCAAACAG